rnacentral:rRNA from 1 species
UACGGAGGGUGCAAACGUUGCUCGGAAUCAUUGGGCGUAAAGCGCACGUAGGCGGGAUGGCAAGUCGGUCGUGAAAUCCCUCGGCUCAACCGAGGAACGUCGAUCGAUACUGCUGUUCUUGAGGAUUGCAGAGGAGACUGGAAUUCCCGGUGUAGCGGUGAAAUGUGUAGAGAUCGGGAGGAACACCGGUGGCGAAGGCGGGUCUCUGGGCAAUUCCUGACGCUGAGGCGCGAAAGCGUGGGGAGCAAACGGG